UAAGGAGGGGGCUAGCGUUGUUCGGAAUUACUGGGCGUAAAGCGCACGUAGGCGGAUUGUUAAGUCGGGGGUGAAAUCCCGGGGCUCAACCCCGGAAUGGCCUCCGAUACUGGCAAUCUUGAGGUCGGGAGAGGUGAGUGGAAUGGCGAGUGUAGAGGUGAAAUUCGUAGAUAUUCGCCGUAACACCAGUGGCGAAGGCGGCUCACUGGCACGAUACUGACGCUGAGGUGCGACAGCGUGGGGAGCAAACAGG
rnacentral:rRNA from 1 species